CCUGCAACAAAUGGAAAUCACAACAGCAAAUGACAGAUAAUAUAACAGAAUAAUAGCAAACAAAUUAAGGGGGAAAAAGGGGAAAUUUGUAAAUCUUGAUUUUGGCUAUAUAAAGCCAAUUGUAUACUGUAAAUGGGGGAUUAUUAUUUUUUUCAACAGAAAUACAGACGCAUAUUGAAAGAGAAAUAAAAAUCGAAAAGGGACGGGAUUUUGAAAUCGAAGCAAAUAGUCUUCAAGGUUUAACCCUCCAUGGCUCUUCUGUGCAUCUUGAGUCACUGAUCAAAACGAAGCAAGAACAUGCAGAUAAGGGGGCUAUGGGAAUCAGCCAAAGGGAGAGGAGUGAAUUAGAGUGCUUCUGUCUUUUCUCUUUUGUUAGUAU